CGAAGCAACGCGAAGAACCUUACCAGGUCUUGACAUCCUCUGACACUCCCAGAGAUAGGAUUUUCCCCUUCGGGGGACAGAGUGACAGGUGGUGCAUGGUUGUCGUCAGCUCGUGUCGUGAGAUGUUGGGUUAAGUCCCGCAACGAGCGCAACCCUUGAUCUUAGUUGCCAGCAUUCAGUUGGGCACUCUAAGGUGACUGCCGGUGACAAACCGGAGGAAGGUGGGGAUGACGUCAAAUCAUCAUGCCCCUUAUGACCUGGGCUACACACGUGCUACAAUGGAUGGUACAAAGGGCAGCGAAGCCGCGAGGUGGAGCCAAUCCCAUAAAACCAUUCUCAGUUCGGAUUGCAGGCUGCAACUCGCCUGCAUGAAGCCGGAAUCGCUAGUAAUCGCGGAUCAGCAUGCCGCGGUGAAUACGUUCCCGGGCCUUGUACACACCGCCCGUCACACCACGAGAGUUUGUAACACCCGAAGUCGGUGGGGUAACCGUAAGGAGCCAGCCGCCUAAGGUGGGACAGAUGAUUGGGGUGAAGUCGUAACAAGGUAGCCGUAUCGGAAGGUGCGGCUGGAUCACCU
rnacentral:rRNA from 1 species